GACGAACGCUGGCGGCGUGCUUAACACAUGCAAGUCGAACGGAAAGGCCCUGCUUGCAGGGUACUCGAGUGGCGAACGGGUGAGUAACACGUGGGUGAUCUGCCCUGCACUUCGGGAUAAGCCUGGGAAACUGGGUCUAAUACCGGAUAGGAGCCAUUUUUAGUGUGAUGGUUGGAAAGUUUUUUCGGUGUAGGAUGAGCUCGCGGCCUAUCAGCUUGUUGGUGGGGUAAUGGCCUACCAAGGCGGCGACGGGUAGCCGGCCUGAGAGGGUGGACGGCCACAUUGGGACUGAGAUACGGCCCAGACUCCUACGGGAGGCAGCAGUGGGGAAUAUUGCACAAUGGGCGCGAGCCUGAUGCAGCGACGCCGCGUGGGGGAUGAUGGCCUUCGGGUUGUAAACUCCUUUCGCUAGGGACGAAGCUUUUUGUGACGGUACCUAGAUAAGAAGCACCGGCUAACUACGUG
rnacentral:rRNA from 1 species